rnacentral:rRNA from 1 species
CAUUAGCGUAUAUUAAAGUUGUUGCAGUUAAAAAGCUCGUAGUCGAUCUUCUAAGUGUCAGUUUCUUUGCCUCCGGGUGAGUCAUUGGCACUUAUCUGACCGAGAACUUUGUUCGGCCUUCACUGGUCGGCGAUGCAAAUCGGUCAUUUUACUGAGAAAAAAUUAGAGUGUUCAAAGCAGGCUCAACGCCUUGAAUACACAAGCUUGGAAUAAUAGAAUACGACUGAAGUCUUUUUUGUUGGUUAUAAGGCUUUAGUAAUGGUUAAUAGAAACAGUUGGGGGCAUUAGUAUCUAAUUGUCAGAGGUGAAAUUCUUGGAUUUAUUAGAGACUAACUUAGGCGAAAGCAUUUGCCAAAGAUGUUUUCAAUUGA